rnacentral:rRNA from 1 species
UGGGGAAUAUUGCACAAUGGGCGCAAGCCUGAUGCAGCCAUGCCGCGUGUAUGAAGAAGGCCUUCGGGUUGUAAAGUACUUUCAGUCGGGAGGAAGGUGGUAAGGUUAAUAACCUUAUCAAUUGACGUUACCGACAGAAGAAGCACCGGCUAACUCCGUGCCAGCAGCUGCGGUAAUACGGAGGGUGCAAGCGUUAAUCGGAAUUACUGGGCGUAAAGCGCACGCAGGCGGUCUGUCAAGUCGGAUGUGAAAUCCCCGGGCUCAACCUGGGAACUGCAUUCGAAACUGGCAGGCUAGAGUCUUGUAGAGGGGGGUAGAAUUCCAGGUGUAGCGGUGAAAUGCGUAGAGAUCUGGAGGAAUACCGGUGGCGAAGGCGGCCCCCUGGACAAAGACUGACGCUCAGGUGCGAAAGCGUGGGGAGCAAACAGG